AGAGGCACAUCAGGUGCCGAUGUCCAGUGGCGGUGAACGAGGAAGCCCUCCUUGAGGGCCUGGAGGGAGAAGGAGCAAGUGACCACUAGGUCCAGGGGCCCCGGCCUCCUCCAGCAUCUUCCCAGCCCCCGGGGGCUCCAAUCCUUGAACUUCAGCAGCGCUGAGUGAGGCCCAAGCUGGCCUGGAGCCUGCGGCCGGCCAGACUGGCUCCUGCAGAAGUCAUUAGUGGGGUGCCCCAGAGCCUCUGCACCCUGCCGGGUGGGUGACUCAGCCCGAUAUGAACGGUAUCCACCCCGCUGAUGGAUGACAGACAGUCACGAGCCUUGUAGGACAUCCUAAAGGCGUGAGAAGCCCCUCCAGGCUGAGUCACCGCGGAGCCUGGGGCAGGGACCAGGGCCUGGGCUUCCUCAGGGCUCUGUCUGAGCCUCCUGGCCCCAACUCCAGAAGCUUGAUAUCCUGCUUUCCCAGCCUGGCAGAGCUGGUCUCCCUCUUCACUCCCAGCCUCCAGUGGCGCCCAGUGUAGAAGCUCCAAGACGGGCAACUUGAACCUGUUAUCACCUCAAAGGGACUCAGGAGACCUCCGUGGGGCCACAACGCUACGGGGAUAUUUCCAGCUUCCCAGGUUCUGGGCAUCUCGUGGGCUUGACCAUCCUGCCCUUUUGUGUCAGAGCCGGCGGUCAGCAGG